AACGCACCUUGCGCUCCUUGGUAUUCCGAGGAGCAUGCCUGUUUGAGUGUCAUUAAAUUAUCAACCGCGAAAGGCUUUUUCUGGUCUUUCGGGGCUUGGAGUUGGAGGCUUUGCCGGCGUGAGUCGGCUCCUCUUAAAUGUAUCAGCGAAAUACAAACCUUUUGUUGGCUUUGGUGUGAUAAUCACGUUGCGCCGUCGCUUGAAGGUGUUAAAGAGUUUCGCUUAUAAUGGUCUUCGGACAAAUAAAACCAUUGAAUUUGACCUCAAAUCAGGUAGGACUACCCGCUGAACUUAA
rnacentral:misc_RNA from 1 species